rnacentral:rRNA from 1 species
AUUGAACGCUGGCGGCAUGCUUUACACAUGCAAGUCGAACGGCAGCGCGGGCUUCGGCCUGGCGGCGAGUGGCGAACGGGUGAGUAAUACAUCGGAACGUGCCCAGUCGUGGGGGAUAGCUCGGCGAAAGCCGGAUUAAUACCGCAUACGACCUGAGGGUGAAAGCGGGGGAUCUUCGGACCUCGCGCUAUUGGAGCGGCCGAUGGCAGAUUAGCUAGUUGGUGGGGUAAAGGCCUACCAAGGCGACGAUCUGUAGCUGGUCUGAGAGGACGACCAGCCACACUGGGAGUGAGACACGGCCCAGACUCCUACGGGAGGCAGCAGUGGGGAAUUUUGGACAAUGGGCGAAAGCCUGAUCCAGCAAUGCCGCGUGUGUGAUGAAGGCCUUCGGGUUGUAAAGCACUUUUGGCGGGAACGAAAAGGACUGUGCCAAUACCACGGUUCGAUGACGGUACCCGCAGAAUAAGCACCGGCUAACUACGUG